GACGAACGCUGGCGGCGGGCUUAACACAUGCAAGUCGAACGGAAAGGCCCUGCUUUUGUGGGGUGCUCGAGUGGCGAACGGGUGAGUAACACGUGAGUAACCUGCCCUUGACUUUGUGAUAACUUCAGGAAACUGGGGCUAAUACCGGAUAGGAGCUCCUGCUGCAUGGUGGGGGUUGGAAAGUUUCGGCGGUUGGGGAUGGACUCGCGGCUUAUCAGCUUGUUGGUGGGGUAGCGGCUUACCAAGGCUUUGACGGGUAGCCGGCCUGAGAGGGUGACCGGCCACAUUGGGACUGAGAUACGGCCCAGACUCCUACGGGAGGCAGCAGUGGGGAAUAUUGCACAAUGGGCGGAAGCCUGAUGAAGCAACGCCGCGUGCGGGAUGAAGGCCUUCGGGUUGUAAACCGCUUUCGCCUGUGACGAAGCGUGAGUGACGGUAAUGGGUAAAGAAGCACCGGCUAACUACGUG
rnacentral:rRNA from 1 species